GUAGGAUAGAGGCCUACCAUGGUAGUAACGGGUAACGGGGAAUUAGGGUUCGAUUCCGGAGAGGGAGCCUGAGAAACGGCUACCACAUCCAAGGAAGGCAGCAGGCGCGCAAAUUACCCAAUCCCGACACGGGGAGGUAGUGACAAUAAAUAACAAUACAGGGCCUUUCAGGUCUUGUAAUUGGAAUGAGUACAAUUUAAAUCUCUUAACGAGGAACAAUUGGAGGGCAAGUCUGGUGCCAGCAGCCGCGGUAAUUCCAGCUCCAAUAGCGUAUAUUAAAGUUGUUGCAGUUAAAAAGCUCGUAGUUGAAUUUUAGGCCUGGCCGGGCGGUCCGUCUUUGGCGAGUACUGUCUUGUUGUCGGGUCUUCCUUCUGGUGAACCAGUAUGUCCUUUAUUGGGUGUGUUGGGGAGCCAGGACCAUUACCUUGAAAAAAUUAGAGUGUUUAAAGCGGGCUAUUGCUUGAAUAGAUUAGCAUGGAAUAAUAGAAUAGGACGUUUGUGGUUCUAUUUUGUUGGUUCCUAGGACCACCGUAAUGAUUAAUAGGGAUAGUUGGGGGCAUUAGUAUUCAAUUGUCAGAGGUGAAAUUCUUGGAUUUAUUGAAGACUAACUAUUGCGAAAGCAUUUGCCAAGGAUGUUUUCAUUAAUCAAGAACGAAAGUUAGGGGAUCGAAGACGAUCAGAUACCGUCGUAGUCUUAACCAUAAACUAUGCCGACUAGGAAUCGGGCGUCGUUAUUUUAAUGACUCGCUCGGCGCCUUAUGGGAAACAA
rnacentral:rRNA from 1 species